rnacentral:rRNA from 1 species
UACGAAGGGGGCUAGCGUUGUUCGGAAUUACUGGGCGUAAAGCGCGCGCAGGCGGUCCUUCAAGUCAGAGGUGAAAGCCCAGAGCUCAACUCUGGAACGGCCUUUGAAACUAGAGGACUUGGGUACGGGAGAGGUGAGUGGAAUUCCGAGUGUAGAGGUGAAAUUCGUAGAUAUUCGGAAGAACACCAGUGGCGAGGGCGGCUCACUGGCCCGUUACCGACGCUCAGGCGCGACAGCGUGGGGAGCAAACAGG